rnacentral:snRNA from 1 species
GUGCUCCCUUCAGCAGCACAUAUAUUAAAAUUGGAAGGAUACAGAGAAGAUUACCAUGGCCCCUGUGAAAGGAUGACAUGCAAAUU